AGGGAUCAUUACCGAGUUUACAACUCCCAAACCCAAUGUGAACCAUACCAAACUGUUGCCUCGGCGGGGUCACGCCCCGGGUGCGUCGCAGCCCCGGAACCAGGCGCCCGCCGGAGGGACCAACCAAACUCUUUUCUGUAGUCCCCUCGCGGACGUUAUUUCUUACAGCUCUGAGCAAAAAUUCAAAAUGAAUCAAAACUUUCGACAACGGAUCUCUUGGUUCUGGCAUCGAUGAAGGACGCAGCGAAAUGCGAUAAGUAAUGUGAAUUGCAGAAUUCAGUGAAUCAUCGAAUCUUUGAACGCACAUUGCGCCCGCCAGUAUUCUGGCGGGCAUGCCUGUCCGAGCGUCAUUUCAACCCUCGAACCCCUCCGGGGGGUCGGCGUUGGGGAUCGGGAACCCCUAAGACGGGAUCCCGGCCCCGAAAUACAGUGGCGGUCUCGCCGCAGCCUCUCCUGCGCAGUAGUUUGCACAACUCGCACCGGGAGCGCGGCGCGUCCACGUCCGUAAAACACCCAACUUCUGAAAUGUUGACCUCGGAUCAGGUAGGAAUACCCGCUGAACUUAA
rnacentral:rRNA from 1 species